UUUCAUGCGGGGCGGGAGGGGUUCGAUUUCUGGUCGAUUUUUGCCGAAAAUCGACCAGAAAUCGACCCCCCUCCCGCCCCGCAUGAAG
rnacentral:pre_miRNA from 1 species